rnacentral:rRNA from 1 species
CGGGGAAUUUUGGACAAUGGGCGAAAGCCUGAUCCAGCAAUGCCGCGUGUGUGAAGAAGGCCUUCGGGUUGUAAAGCACUUUUGUCCGGAAAGAAAUCCUUGGCUCUAAUACAGUCGGGGGAUGACGGUACCGGAAGAAUAAGCACCGGCUAACUACGUGCCAGCAGCCGCGGUAAUACGUAGGGUGCAAGCGUUAAUCGGAAUUACUGGGCGUAAAGCGUGCGCAGGCGGCUUGCUAAGACCGAUGUGAAAUCCCCGGGCUCAACCUGGGUACUGCAUUGGUGACUGGCAGGCUAGAGUAUGGCAGAGGGGGGUAGAAUUCCACGUGUAGCAGUGAAAUGCGUAGAGAUGUGGAGGAAUACCGAUGGCGAAGGCAGCCCCCUGGGCCAAUACUGACGCUCAUGCACGAAAGCGUGGGGAGCAAACAGGAUUAGAUACCCUGGUAGUCCACGCCCUAAACGAUGUCAACUAGUUGUUGGGGAUUCUUCCUUAGUAACGUAGCAACGCGUGAAGUUGACCGCCUGGGGAGUACGGUCGCAAGAUUAAAACUUAAAGGAAUUGACGGGGUCAUAGCUG